AGAUCAAAUUGUUGGUCGUGCCUCGGUACGUACUGGCAUUAUUGAUUUCUCCCUUCUGAAGAACCACGAUGUCAUUAAUUUGGUGUCGUGGGGAAUCAGGACUGUUACUUUGAAAAAAUUAGAGUGUUUAAAGCAGGCUCACGCUUGAAUACAUUAGCAUGGAAUAAUGAAAUAGGACGUUUGAUUCUAUUUUGUUGGUUUCUAGGAUCGACGUA
rnacentral:rRNA from 1 species